CAGGACAGACACAAUGGUUUCUACAGACAGUAGCUUACAAGUUUUAACAGAAUACCCAAGAGAUUUUUGUACUUGGUGAAAUUGUUGGAUUUUAAAGUGUGGGGGACAAAUUAUGGGGGGGGGCACUGUUAUUACCUUCUUUAGUAACCCUACAUAAUCCCCCUUUUGACCCUACGAUAUUUAUAUAAUCGUUAGUGUCACUUUCUUUUUAACCUGUUUAAGAGAAGGUACUGUGAGGUAACAUGCGUUUGUGAUUCCAAUUUAGAGUACAUUUUUUUUAUCUGAAAACAUGCCCCACCUACUAAUUAUACAAAUACAAUUUAAUAUCAAGACUACUAUCAAGGGGUGUAGCAUUACUGAUAGGAUGCCAGUGGUAGUCGGGGACCAUCCAGAGAAUAUCAUACCAGUGGUAGGUUGUAAUUUGCUUCUCUGCGGUGGCAAUUCGUAACAUGUCCCCAUUGGCAUAUAUAAUAUGAAUAGUCUGAUUUUCUACAUGGUCAUUUGUCUGUUCCAAAAAUUUGGUCACUUCUUUGCUUUUAAUUAGGCUAUCAGUAAGAUCUUGCCAUCUAACGUCGAGCCAGUUAGUGUUAGCUGGGACCUUUUUGGCCGCGGUAAAUAGUAAGUGUGAUUUCUAGUAAAAACAGUACUGACAUUGCAUUUACAUUCAUCUACUGGGGGGUUGCUAACACGCCCAUCCUCCCAAAAUACUUCCUCCCACGAGUGAAUACAUACACAUUGUUUAUUGUACAAUACUUUGGUGUCAUUAUCCAAUUCAUCCCACAUAUGUGAUCCCAAUGAAACAUCUUUACUACUAGGCUCUGGGGCAACAGGUAAGGUGAGGUAUACCCACUUUUGAGGAGUCCAUUCGGUACAACCUCUAGUGUCCAAUAGUUUUCCUCCCUCCCCAGCCCACUGACUCGAGGUCCGAGGCAGCCAGAAUUGGCUAACCUUCCAUACCUUUGCCUCCAGAGACUGUUGAUGUGCUAUUUUUACAAUUAUUUCCCCAGUUAACAAGUCUGGUUUCACAGUGCUGGAAACAUACUGCAUCCAGUCAUAUUGGUAAGUAUCAAACAGAGAACUUUUCCUUUGUUUUAACAAAUGCAUUAAAACCUUAAUAUUACCUGAAAUAACCCAAAACAUUUUGUGUUCCAAAGUAGAUAGGGCAAGCAUCUGCAUUUCAGUGCAUCCCAUAUGAAUGGGUCACACUUUAUGUAAUUGUUUUAAGGCAGAACCAACAUAACAGGAUUACUAAUAGGACAAUGAUGGAAUGAAAAAUUAUAUUUAGAACUGCUGACCAGGUGGGCUGCUCCUACAACACUCUGCCCCUUUAUCUAUGAUUAUUACAGUAGUUGUUCUUGUAGGGCACAGGUGAUCUGUUGCAAACAAACCAAACAAUUAUAACCAGGUGAAUAUAACUAAAACCAUUACAAUUGACUAAACACCAGAAAUAACCUAAACACAAAUGUAAACAAUUAUAGUUAUAAUAAUUGGGAAUACAAGAAAACCAUCACCAUUACAAUAAUUGGGUACAUUGACAAAUAAAAUGAGGCCCAAGUUUGAUGCUGCAAUAGCCAUCAAACAAUAAAAGUCACUGAGGUCAGGACCUUCUUAAGCACACACAACAAAUAAGAUUUUGUAGGAGUACCACAGUUGUCAUGCAAGAUUAAGCUGAUUUGGACUUAAACUAACAUUUAGUUACUAAAAUGUUGCAGAAUCCCCUAUUCCUAACAGUUGUUUUUAAGAGGUCUCUGGGGACCUAAAAGAUGGGGCCCUGCAAUUAUGGGCCAAGGUCUUACAGGUUAUGGGGGCCCAAGAACUACCCUUUAGGGCUUGGGGAAGUAGAACCAGAGUGCAUAGAGGAACGUGUGGAAUUAACAAUACAAGCAAAUGUAACUAACAAUACAAAUGUAUAAAUAACAAAAAUUAACAAAAUGACUAUUAGAGAAACUAGCAAAAAAAAAUAAACCUGAUGCACUGGAGACCAAAGUCUUUUGGACACAAGUGAUGAUUGAUAAGUUGGGUGGACAUGGGGGAAGUAGAGAGAAGAAAAGACAUUUGCCCUGUCCAGUGUAGUAUCCCCUCUUGAAUUAUGUGCAUUAUCCAAGUUGGUUCAUAAAUUUGUUAUCAAUAGUUCCUUCGUUUUUGGCCUUACCAGUGAGGAGUAGUGGGACAUUGGAACAUAAGUAGUACUCAACACAAUCUUCUGCAGAAAGGCCAUUUUUCUUUGUCCAAUUAUUUCCAGUAAAUGUUUGAUGCAACCCAAAUUUUUAGUAGGAAACUAUCUUAGCUGCUUUUUGCUAUAGCUCAUGGAUGUUUCAGAAAGUAUGUAACUCAUAUGACUAGCAACAAUACCAAAGCAGAUACAGUUGAAGAAAAACUAGAUUGUUUUGUGUAAAAUGCUGAGUAAUGGAAUAAUUUAACUUUUACCACUCAUCAAAAAAUAAAAAUUGAAUUCUGCCAAGCCUACCCUAUAUAUUGGUUAUUCAAGCUAUCUCAGAUGACCCAAAGAGCUCUUGCAGCUACAUAAAUGUAUUUUCAUUUCUGAUACCAAGUUAUGCAAUGUUUAACUGUAAAAAGUCCCAAUGCUUAAAUCUUGACCCCAUGUAUCUUAUCUACCUACAUUCUUAUAGCCACUGUUCACGCUUCUAUCUGAGCACCUGAGGGAUUAUUCAAACCUGACUCAGGUCACAAACACCACCCAGCUCCCACACGCUAAACCUAAUAACCAGAAUUGGACCAAAGCAAUACAGCUCACAGAAGACUAAACUUUUAUGUGUCACAAACAAAGGAUAGGAGGGACCAAGCUGCACCAAUGCCUGAGGCCCCUGCAAGGGCAGGGAACUGAUUUAUUUUUAGAGAGACCCAGGUAAUCCUUGCAAGUGACUAAUGCCCCAGACUGCAGAGCUAUGCUAAAAAACAAGCUGGCCCUGCCAAUCUGACCUUCUCUCCAGACCCCACAUGUGGCGCUCACUUAAACCCACCAGUCAAGCACCUGAGAGAGAAUUCUGAUUACCACCUCAGAGCGUUGGCUCACUCCACCCAAUGUCCCAUCGCUGACACAACUUUUGCAGGUCAGUUGGCUUUGUUUGUGAGCAAGAUUUUUAAUUUGGGGGGAAAUUAUAUUUUAUUUUGGGAAAUUCCACUGAGGCAUGUAUUGGGGGCACAGGUGUGGAACAUAGCCUUGCCUAAAUCAAUCCUUCCAAUCAGAAUAAUAAAUAAGGGAAUUUUUUUUCUUUAUUUCAGGGCCAUUCCCCUUAUUCCCUGUAGCUGAAAUUUUACUUAUCCGUACAUCUGUUUCAUGAAAUUCUCACAUGCUCUUACAAGUUCUUCAAAAAAACAUAGUUGAGCAAUAAUGCUUUAACUGCUUAAUACUGCUUUUUAUUUGUACUUUAUUAUUUGAAACAUUUUUUUUGGUAAGGAUAAAGCUUUUUAUUUUAGAAAAGCAGGGCUGGAUCACUCAUUGGGAUUGAUAAUGAAAUACAGACCCUUUACUUCUGGGUCACCACUUCACCUCUAGAUCAGGUAAGUCAGUAGUGGCCAAAAGUUGAUCUCAUUUGAUGUCUGUUUCAGUUGCCUUUGUGGAACAAGAGUGGUGAUCUCAGUCUAGUUCUCAGUGAACAGGCAUCCACAGCACAAAAUCUAUCACCUUAAUCAGAAUGAAUUGGCACUCUUGUUAGUAGUCUCACCAGAGGGGACAACGAAUGAAUGGCCUGUGGAUCGUGAACAGGGAUUUCUCCUGGUCUCACAACCAGUAUUGAAACACGUUGGCAAGACAACGUGAAAGGUCGGGUCAGUCGAAAACCCUGCUGCAGACGAAUUCCAAAAAUUCGCAAAGGCAAGGCUGUUCAACUAAAGAGACACCACUGCACACCAUGUAAAAACUCAAAAAGAAUCCCUGGGCCUCCUCAGAAACCAGGACCGCUUCCUCAGAGUUAAAGUGAACAGCCUCAGCAGCACGUAAAAGGCCUGCGGUCCAUAGCAGUCUGGCUGCCGCCACAUCUCAUAAUGUUUUUAUUUGGUUUGGGGCCCUCUGUGGGGGAAUCAUCCUUUCAGAUGAAAAGGAGUGUAUAUGCUUUUCAGUCACUAAUGUUCAUCCAUUCAUAGCGUUCUCUCCUCUCCUUUGCAUAAAGUUAAAACUCUCUAGCUGGGGUGCUAAAGCCUUUCUGUGAAGUGGGCUGUCGCUCGUCUUCAAGCUUUCUGCAGUUACACAUCAGCCCUCCAUUCCAUUAGUGGAUCUCUCCCAACCAGUGGUAGAGUGAACAGAUCCAGCUAGAAAGCCUUCCACACCACCACUCUGUUUGACAUAAUUUUGGCACGUAAAUCUGUGCUGGUUGGGGAUGGCCUGUUUGUUUUUCCUUAUAGUCAGUUUUUUUCCCUAAACCCACAUUUCUGGAAAUGAUUUAUCUUAGAUCAGCAAACGGAUCACAAUUUUAGACAGAUGUCUGGGUGCUGAAAUUUGCCUCUAUGCAGAGGACCCAGAUGAAGCCCAUCAAGGCAACACUUAAGUCUUGCAUGAGUGCUUAGAAUUUGUACUGGCCCUCUCCAGAGAGCUGAAUUUCUUCCACAUGAGAGAAAGCUCCACCUUUUGGGCAGGAGCUGAUAACCAGGACAGAGGGGCAAACAGGUCAAUUUGAAGUAUUCAUUAAGGACUUGAUAUAAAGCCAGUGGAAAGCUUUCCACUGACUUCAUUGGGCUUUGGAUCAAGCUCUAAAAUGCAGAUGCCUUAUCUCUAGGAGAAUGGCAUUACUUGGUUGAUGAGCAAUAUUCAGAAAAUGCCUUAACAUUAAUUAUUUAACCCUGUUCUUUCUGAAAUUCUAGGGCAAUUGUUCCUCUAAGUACUCCUGAAUUUGGUGUUUCAUGGCACAUAAACAAAAGCACAUUUUGAAGGGGUGGAAUAGAAUGAUACCAAGGCAGUGAAAAUUGAGGACAACAGAAAGUGCACUCAGACCUGAUUGGCAGGGCUCGUUUGCAGUUAACUCUAUAAGUACAGUGGUCCCCAGUUCAGACAUUAGAUGGGUUCCAUCAUUUUUUACAUUUACAUUUCUGCUUGGUGUUUAAUAUUCUCAUUGUAAUAUAGGCUCUCUAUCUCCAUGCUCAGGAACUAAAGAAUUGACUUUCAACGGAGAUAGGCAAGUGCCAAAUGUCAUUAGUCUCAGAGGUCACAAAUGUGAAUCAGCUAUUUGAAUGUUCUAGUUCAUUGGCGCACACAUUAAUUUCAGUUUUGUCAUUGUUUCAUAGUUUGCUGAAUGAAUCUCUCUAAUACAAGUAAAUGUAACACAUGUGGAUUGUGAGCUGUUUGGGGCAAGGAGGAUGACUUACUGUCUAAAAAUCACCAUAUAAAUUUAUGGAUGAAGAAAUGAUUUUAAGUAGUAAUAACCAGGACUGGGAUUCUGGUCUCUAACAUUAGUUUAACCCCAUUCGUUUUCAUCUCAAAGCAAGUGACAUGUUUCUCUGAAAAAAAUUAGCCCUUUAAAACAACAUAUUUGAAACUUAGUGUCAGCUGGGACAGAUGAUGAUGGUGGAUGCUUCCACAAUAACCCAAUCCCAGUUGAUGGGAGAAGGGGAAGAAAGAGAGUUUGAAACUGGAUAACAAAAACUUAAGUUCAAAAAUACAUUAGCAAUAGUAGAAAAAUAUAUUCCGUGGAAUUUUUCCCAUUAAAGGGCCUGAUUCUGCAAACUCUUACACAUGUGAGUUACUUUAUUUACAUCUAUAGUCAAACUGAACUCAGUAGGACUACUUGCAUGACUAAAGUUACUUGAGUGCAGGAACAUUUUCAGCAUCUAUUCCCUAAAGGACAAACUAAAGUAUUUUUACUACCUAGUAGCAUGCAACUAGAAUCUGCACGUGGCAUAAGUUACAGUACUUGUUCUUCCCUUUCUUUUCUCUUGGAUUAUGUAUGUUUGGCAUUACCUAGAUCUAAAAAUAUUUUACUUACUGCAUUUAAAAUAGGCCAAUAAAUAUAUUAUACAAAACCUAGGCUGACCAGAUAGCAAGUAUGAAAAAUCGGGACGGGGGUGGGGGGGUAAUAGGAGUCUAUAUAAGAAAAAGCCCCAAAUACUGGGACUGUCCCUAUAAAAUCAGAACAUUUGGUCACCCUAACAAAACCUAUCCUAGCUUAUCUUGCAAAUGUAUUAGGUUAAAUACAUUUAAGCAGAACAACCAUGUACCCUACAAAAUACAAUAAAGAUAUUUUUGAAUGA